ACUCUGGAUAGCUCAGUCGGUACAGCACGAGACUGUUAAUCUCAGGGUUGUUGGUUUGAGCCCUGUGUUGGGUG